CCAUCCCGGCGGGAGCCUCGCCUCUUCCUGCCACUCCAGUACGGCUCCCGUCUCCGCCCUUGCCAUCGAAUUGCUUCUACUGUCCUGCUCUCAGCUGUAUUUUAGGCGGACGUGGAAACAAAGACCCAUAGUUGGACUUUUAUUUUGGGUUCUGUGGCCCACAAGCACUGAGGAAUAGGCGUGGCAGUGGAAGCAGGCACGGGAGACCCAGAGCGCUUCGCGGAAGCUGUCCCGCCCCCUGGCCGAACGUCGGCUCCCACGCACUACAAUUCCCAGCAUGCCUGUCGAGCAAGAGCGGAGGCGGAACCGGAGUGUCGUCAUAGCAACUGAAUCAACUACCUCGCGGAGACUUCUCAAGGACCUCGUAGCAAGAAGGAAGACACGACCCUGGAGAUGCCAGAGGCUGCCGCAUGAAUCUUAAGAAUGAAGCUGACACAGCAGAAGGCUGAGCCAAGAAACUAAGAGAAAUUGAAUUUUUAUUACAUUUUUGGAGCUCCUGGAUGAAGCCACUCAUGACAGUAAACAGCCCCAAGGCUUUUCCACUACGUGAAUAAAUAAAUCUUCUUUCCUAUUUAAGCGAGUUUGAGUUUAGGUUCUCUGUCACGACAACAUACAAACUGAAGCAAACCUCUUGCCUCUAACGUUUAUUGUAACUGUAAAACACAAACAAAAACGAGGCACCAACAUAACCACCAAACCAGAAGAGUUUAAAUCAACAAUGUUAUUUUUUUGUUUUCUGAAACUAAAUUUCUUCUCCCCAAAUGCCAAAGAAUGUGGCGUUGAUGAGUACCUUGCGGGUUGUUUUGAGUUCUGCACAACUUCGUGUCCUACGCGUGAGGCGUGUGCUAUGUAGUGAACCAUUUCUUCAUUGCUUUUCUUUUUUUGAACUAUUGUGAAACCUUCAUUCACAGAGUUUGCCGUGACAGCGUUCAGCCUUCUCUUGGUACAAAUGUAGAAUUUAUAUAGCAAGUCCGUUUCUGUACUUUUCCUUCAUUGCUAAGACGAAGAACGUUAUUGUGCUUGCCUUUCAAAUAUAUCGAUAUCAAAGUCUCAUUCUAUGAAAUGACUCUAUGAAAUGUGUUUGAUCUAUGAAAAUACGUUUCAACUACGGAUUGAAAAGAGAGGCUUUGUGUUUCAACAGGAGACCAAUUCACCUGUGGUGACUGUGUCAUUUUGUCGCUGGGACAUGCCAACUCUCAGCAGCUAGGCAAGCCUACCACGUCUAGACCUGCUUCAUUCAUUUUUGGCCCAGUUUCUGCACCUUCCGCUGACUCCCACCUAAGUCCCAUAAUUCACUAGUGUUGUCUGUUACUUCUGUUAGGGCUUUUAAACUAAUGGUACAGUUUGACAGAGUCUCUCUGCCUCCAAUUGCAUAUAAAGUCCGCAUACUAGUUUUCAGUUGGAUUACUAGAAUCUGUCCAUACGCUGCCUAUUUUAACUAGCAGUGGUGAGUGAGUCACCUGUUGGUCCAAAACUCUAGCAAAGAUCUCAAGACCACUCUGGCUCGUACCAGGAAGCAGUUCUGGUCUUGCCUGUUAGUCUGCAGUGUUGCACCACAUUAGGCUGCUGCAGGACAGCUUGGCUCUUGGCUUUGGGUCAAGGGUAGCACUGCCUGUCUGUCUGACUUUGGGGCCCAGACUGAAGAGACAAGAGUUAACUGGCAUCGGCUGUCUUCAUGGCAGUCACGGGAGUGCGAGACACUGAGCCAAAGGACGUGAGGACAUUUAAGUUUUUCUUCAUGUCAUGUUGCCUGACAUUCCAUGGACCAGAGCAAGUUACAUAACACGAUAUCAGUAAAGUGGGGGAAACACCCAUCCACUCUGGUGUGCUGUAGGUUUCCGUGGCCGAGGGACCGAGGGAAGAAUUGUGAGCAAUAAUCCAAUCUGGUACCUAUGGCUUUACUUUGUAUGAACUUUGUCUCUGUUCCUCCAAACCUCUGAUCUCAAUUUCUGUUGCUCAUAUGCCCUAUGGGAGUGGAAGGGCUUUCUGUAGCUAAUUCGAAUUGUAAAGGAAGAGAAUAGUUUCCAAUUAGCUUAGUGGCCAUAAAACCGGUAGCUGUUACAGCUAAGUUUCCAUUUUGGCUCUACCUUCUGGCUUUGUUGAUUUAUUUAAUGAUAAAAUUAAUAUGUUUAAAUUUGUUAAGCUUUAAUUUGUGUUUUUGUGCAGUAAAAAAUAAAAACAUA